GGGGUCUGCGGGAGGAAAGUCCGGGCAACUCGGGUCACCAUACUUCCUAACGGGAAGGCGACGGGGAGGCAAGCACCCCGCCGACAGCAAGUGCCACAGAAAGACAAACCGCCUGACUUCAGGUAAGGGUGCAAGCGCGGGGUAAGAGCCCACGACAUGCGGCAGCAAUGCCGCACGAUGGCAAACCUUAUGGGUUGAAAAACCAAAUAUACCGGCAGCACAGGGCCGACCCGCCCUUUGCCGGGGGGUAGGUUGAUUGAGACCGUCGGCGACGACGGCCCUAGAUUGAUGAUAGAGGCCUCCGCAUGGGGGCGACAGAACCCGGCUUAUGACGUU
rnacentral:RNase_P_RNA from 1 species